rnacentral:rRNA from 1 species
GACGAACGCUGGCGGCGUGCUUAACACAUGCAAGUCGAACGAUGAAGCCGGAGCUUGCUCUGGUGAAUUAGUGGCGAACGGGUGAGUAACACGUGAGUAACCUGCCCUUGACUCUGGGAUAACUGCUAGAAAUGGUAGCUAAUACCGGAUACGACCCUCGGAGGCAUCUUCAGGGGGUGGAAAGAAUUUCGGUCAAGGAUGGACUCGCAGCCUAUCAGCUAGUUGGUGAGGGAAUGGCUCACCAAGGCGACGACGGGUAGCCGGCCUGAGAGGGUGACCGGCCACACGGGGACUGAGCCACGGCACAGACUCCUACGGGAGGCAGCAGUGGGGAAUAUUGCACAAUGGGCGCAAGCCUGAUGCGGCAACGCCGCGUGGGGGAUGUCAGCCUGCGGGUUGUAAACCUCUUUUAGUAGGGAAGAAGCGAAAGUGACGGUACCUGCAGAAAAAGCACCGGCUAACUACGUGCCAGCAGCCGCCGUAA